CCUACGGGUGGCAGCAGUGAGGAAUAUUGGUCAAUGGCCGGAAGGCUGAACCAGCCAAGCCGCGUGAAGGACGAAGGUGCCAAGCAUUGUAAACUUCUUUUGUCAAGGGACAAAAUCAGGCUCGAGAGCCUGACCGAGGGUACUUGAAGAAAAAGCAUCGGCUAACUCCGUGCCAGCAGCCGCGGUAAUACGGAGGAUGCGAGCGUUAUCCGGAUUUAUUGGGUUUAAAGGGUGCGUAGGCGGACUGUUAAGUCAGCAGUAAAAGCCCGGGGCUCAACCCCGGCGAGCCGUUGAUACUAGCUGUCUAGAGUUGUCGAGAGGUAUGCGGAAUGCGAAGUGUAGCGGUGAAAUGCGUAGAUAUUGGGAAGAACACCGAAUGCGAAGGCAGCAUACCGGCGGCGAUCUGACGCUGAGGGACGAAAGCGUGGGUAUCGAACAGGAUUAGAUACCCGUGUAGUC
rnacentral:rRNA from 1 species